UGGGGAAUUUUGGACAAUGGGGGAAACCCUGAUCCAGCCAUCCCGCGUGUGCGAUGAAGGCCUUCGGGUUGUAAAGCACUUUUGGCAGGAAAGAAACGUCAUGGGUUAAUACCCCGUGAAACUGACGGUACCUGCAGAAUAAGCACCGGCUAACUACGUGCCAGCAGCCGCGGUAAUACGUAGGGUGCAAGCGUUAAUCGGAAUUACUGGGCGUAAAGCGUGCGCAGGCGGUUCGGAAAGAAAGAUGUGAAAUCCCAGAGCUCAACUUUGGAACUGCAUUAUUAACUAACGGGCUAGAGUGGGGCAGAGGGAGGUGGAAUUCCGCGUGUAGCAGUGAAAUGCGUAGAUAUGCGGAGGAACACCGAUGGCGAAGGCAGCCUCCUGGGAUAACACUGACGCUCAUGCACGAAAGCGUGGGGAGCAAACAGG
rnacentral:rRNA from 1 species